rnacentral:rRNA from 1 species
UUUAGCUGGCUGCAACUGUUUAUUAAAAACACAGCACUGUGCAAACACGAAAGUGGACGUAUACGGUGUGACGCCUGCCCGGUGCCGGAAGGUUAAUUGAUGGGGUUAGCGCAAGCGAAGCUCUUGAUCGAAGCCCCGGUAAACGGCGGCCGUAACUAUAACGGUCCUAAGGUAGCGAAAUUCCUUGUCGGGUAAGUUCCGACCUGCACGAAUGGCGUAAUGAUGGCCAGGCUGUCUCCACCCGAGACUCAGUGAAAUUGAACUCGCUGUGAAGAUGCAGUGUACCCGCGGCAAGACGGAAAGACCCCGUGAACCUUUACUAUAGCUUGACACUGAACAUUGAGCCUUGAUGUGUAGGAUAGGUGGGAGGCUUAGAAGUGUGGACGCCAGUCUGCAUGGAGCCGACCUUGAAAUACCACCCUUUAAUGUUUGAUGUUCUAACGUUGACCCGUAAUCCGGGUUGCGGACAGUGUCUGGUGGGUAGUUUGACUGGGGCGGUCUCCUCCUAAAGAGUAACGGAGGAGCACGAAGGUUGGCUAAUCCUGGUCGGACAUCAGGAGGUUAGUGCAAUGGCAUAAGCCAGCUUGACUGCGAGCGUGACGGCGCGAGCAGGUGCGAAAGCAGGUCAUAGUGAUCCGGUGGUUCUGAAUGGAAGGGCCAUCGCUCAACGGAUAAAAGGUACUCCGGGGAUAACAGGCUGAUACCGCCCAAGAGUUCAUAUCGACGGCGGUGUUUGGCACCUCGAUGUCGGCUCAUCACAUCCUGGGGCUGAAGUAGGUCCCAAGGGUAUGGCUGUUCGCCAUUUAAAGUGGUACGCGAGCUGGGUUUAGAACGUCGUGAGACAGUUCGGUCCCUAUCUGCCGUGGGCGCUGGAGAACUGAGGGGGGCUGCUCCUAGUACGAGAGGACCGGAGUGGACGCAUCACUGGUGUUCGGGUUGUCAUGCCAAUGGCACUGCCCGGUAGCUAAAUGCGGAAGAGAUAAGUGCUGAAAGCAUCUAAGCACGAAACUUGCCCCGAGAUGAGUUCUCCCUGACUCCUUGAGAGUCCUGAAGGAACGUUGAAGACGACGACGUUGAUAGGCCGGGUGUGUAAGCGCAGCGAUGCGUUGAGCUAACCGGUACUAAUGAACCGUGAGGCUUAACCUU